GUGCUCACUUCAGCAGCACAUAUACCAAAAGUGGAAUGAUACAGAAAAUAGCAUGGCCCCUGUGUCAGGAUAACAUGUAAAUUCAUGAAGCAUUCCUCAUUUUU
ensembl:snRNA U6 U6 spliceosomal RNA